GAUGAACGCUGGCGGCGUGCCUAACACAUGCAAGUCGAACGAGAAGCUAACCUUUGAUUCCUUCGGGAUGAUCAGGUUGGCAGAAAGUGGCGAACGGGUGAGUAACGCGUGGGUAAUCUACCCUAAAGUGGGGGAUAACCCUCCGAAAGGAGGGCUAAUACCGCAUAAUAUCUUCUCCUCUAAAGAGGUAAAGAUUAAAGGUGGCCUCUAUUUAUAAGCUAUCACUUUAGGAUGAGCCCGCGUCCUAUUAGUUAGUUGGUGGGGUAAUGGCCUACCAAGACCACAAUGGGUAGCCGGUCUGAGAGGAUGUACGGCCACGCUGGGACUGAGAUACGGCCCAGACUCCUACGGGAGGCAGCAGUGGGGAAUAUUGCGCAAUGGGGGAAACCCUGACGCAGCGACGCCGCGUGGACGAUGAAGGCCUUCGGGUUGUAAAGUCCUGUUCUGGGGGAAGAAACCUUAAGGGUCCAAUAAACCC
rnacentral:rRNA from 1 species